rnacentral:rRNA from 1 species
GUGCCAGACUCCUACGGGAGGCAGCAGUGGGGGAUAUUGCACAAUGGGGGGAACCCUGAUGCAGCGACGCCGCGUGGGUGAAGGAGCGUUUCGGCGCGUAAAGCCCUAUCGGCAGGGAAGAAGGAGGACGGUACCUGACUAAGAAGCCCCGGCUAACUACGUGCCAGCAGCCGCGGUAAUACGUAGGGGGCAAGCGUUAUCCGGAUUUACUGGGUGUAAAGGGGGCGCAGGCGGAUUUUUAAGUCAGCGGUCAAAUCGUGGGGCUCAACCCCAUCCAGCCGUUGAAACUGGGGAUCUAGAGUGUGCGAGAGGUAUGCGGAAUGCGUGGUGUAGCGGUGAAAUGCAUAGAUAUCACGCAGAACCCCGAUUGCGAAGGCAGCAUACCGGUGCACAACUGACGCUCAGGCACGAAAGCGUGGGUAUCGAACAGGAUUAGAUACCCCAGUAA